GUAGGGAAUCUUGCGCAAUGGGCGAAAGCCUGACGCAGCCAUGCCGCGUGAAUGAUGAAGGUCUUAGGAUUGUAAAAUUCUUUCACCGGGGACGAUAAUGACGGUACCCGGAGAAGAAGCCCCGGCUAACUUCGUGCCAGCAGCCGCGGUAAUACGAAGGGGGCUAGCGUUGCUCGGAAUUACUGGGCGUAAAGGGAGCGUAGGCGGAUAGUUUAGUCAGAGGUGAAAGCCCAGGGCUCAACCUUGGAAUUGCCUUUGAUACUGGCUAUCUUGAGUAUGGAAGAGGUAUGUGGAACUCGGAGUGUAGAGGUGAAAUUCGUAGAUAUUCGGAAGAACACCAGUGGCGAAGGCGACAUACUGGUCCAUUACUGACGCUGAGGCUCGAAAGCGUGGGGAGCAAACAGGAUUAGAAACCCUAGUAGUCC
rnacentral:rRNA from 1 species